GGUUCUACUGGGGGCGACUUUCAGGGUACAAACACAGCACAGCCUGUUCUCCAGGGCCUCUCACUGCUGCAGCUCUGCUGCCCCCUGCCUGUCACCCGAGUCACACAGCCAGGGCUUGCAGCUCCAGGGAAAGGACCCUGACCUGUCAUUUUCACGUACCAACCUGUUUCCCACUGGCAGCCCCGUAGAACCUCUGGGGCCAGUUUCACAGCCCCUUUGGAGCCCACCACCCACGUUAACUGCCCUUGGGCACCUCAGAGGCAAUUGUUCCCUGAGCCUGGGGCCUCUGCCACAUGUUCACGAGUGUCCGAGCUGCUGGGAGCUGCCAGCCAGUGUUCUGGUCCCGUACAGUGGAAUGUUGGUCCUGGGCCAGCGUCUGUGCGCCCGUGGGCUCCCUCUUAUGGAGUUACAAGGAGAGGCCAGUCAGGGCCUGGAAACAGGCCCGGGAGUCAGCAUGCCCCGAUGUCUUCUGCACCCCAGGGCUCCCCGGUCAGGCCUGGCUAGCCCUGGUUCUCUCAGGGGAGAGUGCUUGGCUGCCGUUUUCCUGGGAUGGACCUUUUUCACUCUUCUUUUCUGUUUUCCUUGUGCUCAGUGGCAGUCUGAGGGCCAGGGCUCGGGCUCUGCCAGCCUCCUGGCUGAGGCUGUGCGCUCCUGGCAGCACUGCCCCGCCUGCCCGCCAGCUCUUCCUUUUCCUUCUCUCUCCAGUGCCUCCCUCAUUCCCAUGGGCACAGUCCCUUGAUUGUUGGGCUAUUGGCAUGGCCUGCCAGGAGAGCAGCUGAGUAUUUACGCUGUUAAAAUAGGUCACUGCUGAGGUCAGCAGGUGUUUUUGUUUUGAUUUGCGUUAAUGGACUUACACAUUUUAGUGCUGCUCUUUUCUGUCCUGUGGUGCUCCGGCAAUGCGACGUACACAUAGCCAAGAAUGUGACACUGUCAUCAACCAAAUGUCAAUGUCGUUAGAAUGGUCUCUGCGAGAGGGUUAUUCUUCAAAAAAAGAGUAAAUAUUAACUAAAGCUGAAAGUACUGUGGGAAGCAAGAUUAUGUACAUUACUUGAAUGAUCUUAAGUUGCCUCAGCCCUCUUCUUUUGGGGGAAGCCACUUUGUCUUGGAAAUUUGAGCUGCUUUUAAAAUAUGUGUUUCUUAUAUAAUGUGCCAUAGGAAAGCUGACUGGACCCCAGGUGUUGUGAGUCCCACUCUCCGGCAGUCCUUGGACAAUAGUAUUUACAGUGCCUGUGUUGUGACUUGCCCCAGCAGAGGCAGCAGUACUCCUUUGGAGCUCUGAGAGGGUUUUCUUGGCUUGUAAAGCUGAUGACCACGGCCUUGGAUGGGGCUGUUCCUUGCACGGUCAUCCACAAAUAGGGCUGGGGUCUGGACUGUUCUUUAGUUGUCAGUCAGUUAGCAUUGCCUGUGUGUUUGCAGUUACUUGUUGAUAUUAAUUAUCUUUUUUUUAACUGGUGUUGGGGACGGAACCCAGUUAUGUUAUGACAUGUUAUGCAGGCACUGUACUGCUGAGCUGCACCUGCUAAAGUUUAUUUUGAGAUUGGGUUUCCCUAAGUUGCCCAGGUUGGCCUAGAACUUGUGAUCCUCUUCCCUCAGUUUCCCAAGUAGCUGGGUUUUCUCAUGUGGCUACCAUUGGCAUUGCUUAUCAUUUCAUUAUUUUAUGUAGCUUUGAGUCUCAGUGCUUUUCACAGUUAGGACUGCAGGUAUUCAGAAUGAAGGAUAAUCCCGUGUGACUCCAGCCAUGCUUUUGUCAGCUCAGGGGUGCUGCUUAGCGGUGAGGCCAGGGGCUGCUGGGGACACCCCAUCUAUGUUUAAGUCUUGUGGGUUAUGAGAUGUGCAAAGCUGGAUGGGCUGUAUGCUGGGCUUCCCUCCAAGACAGUGGCAGGCAGGCCAGCUCUGUUGCCUCCUGGAGCAGUUUUGUUGAAUUCCCAUUGGGAUCUCACAGUCGGCUACCUUUGUUUUACACACUCCCACCUGUGGUCCUGGGAUUGAGCCCAGGGGUGCCUACCACUGAGUUAAACUGACAGCCUCUUUUUUAUUUUAUUUUAGAGAGUGUCUUGCUAAGUUGCUGAGGCUGGUCUUGAACUUGGGAUCCUCCUGAGCAGCUGGAAUUACAGGCAUGACUACUGUAACUGACAAAAAAAAGUACAUUUUUAAGAAGACUUAUUGCAUGACCGAAUUAUGCUAUCUCAGACCCUAUCACAAGUGAAUUGAAUGUUUUUACAAAUUUUCAGGGCUGAGGACAUAGCUUAGUGAUAGAGCGCUUGAGUUUUAUCCUCAGCACUGCAAAAAAAAAAAAAGCUUUUCAAGUAUAGAUUUUGAAUUUUUAUUUUAUCCAUUUUAGAACCAAAAAUAAAUUCCUAAACAUUGGGAUAAAAGUAAACUCCUAAGAGAUCCUUUAAAUUCCCAAACAUAUUCUCUGUUUCUGAAUUUUUAUAAUCUUCUUUUAAAUUUUUUUAUAGUUGUAGAUGGACAGAAUGCCUUUAUUUUAUUUUUAUAUGGUGCUGAGGAUUGAAACCAGGGCCUCGCACAUGCUAGGCAAGCACUCUGCCACUGAUGAUGAUGAUGAUGAUCAUCAUCAUCAUUAUCAUGUGUGUGGUGCUGAGGGGCGCUUUGCCACUGAGCCACAUCCCAGCCCUUUUUGUUUUUUAUUUUGAGACAGGGCCUUGCUAAGUUGCUGAUGCUGUCCUUGAACUUGCAACCCUCCUGCCUCAGCUUCCCAGUCACUGGGAUGACAGGCGUGGCCACUGUGUCCAGCUAUAAAAGCAUUUUCUCAUGACUCUUGGAAUCAGUGUUUGCCAUGAAUGUAUCCUGUCAGGGGCCAGAGGUCACCUCAGCCAGUCAGCCACACAUGGGGUGGGAGACCAGGUGGCAGGACUUGGUUUUUAGGUGGAACCCUCCCACACCAAAAGACCAGCACCAAGCAGAGCUGUGCAGAGUUCAGGAGUCUGCCUUAUGGAGGCUGGGCUGGCGGAGGUGGGGUUGGCAGAGGUGGGGCUGGCCAGGGCAGGUUGUGGCCCCGUCUGCUCAUAAAGGGAGCCUGCGUAGCACAGGCACAGGAAGAACCCUGUUCCUGCCGCUGUAGUUGCUUGGGAGGGCUCUGAGGAUGUCUAGUUUGUGUUUUGAGGUUUGGGCCAGUUUUGGUUGUCAUCAUGCUCUAAAUUGGGGUCUCACUAUGUUGCUGAGCCUGGCCUUGAACUCACAGUCCUCCUGCCUCAGCCUCCCCAGUAGCUAGGAUGACAGGCAUGUCCACCACGCCGGCUUGCUUCCCUUCCCUAAGGUAGGUGCAAGGUGCCUGAGGCACCAUGUUCCCACCAGGGGCUGUUGGUUGUCCCCGGAUAUCGGGGGCUCCAGACGAGUGCUGCCAGUCACACACCCUACACCGUCUAUCUGCUCUUUGCUCCGGGCGGUGUCCUGUGGUCUUCUCUUGGGUGGACCCUCAGCCGAGGUGUUGGUUUUGGUGGGUGCUUUCCCUGGCAGCUUCCCUGCUAAGGCGACUUGGGCGUCCGGCACUUGCUUCCUCUGCUGUUCUGUUGACCGUGCCCCAGGGCAGCUCUUUGUCCCUGCUGGCUGAGACUGGAGAGGCUUCCUCGGCUCUGUCGGCUUCUGUACCUUGGACAGUCGGUCCUGUUGCACAAGUCGGCCCCUGGAGCAAAGCUGAUCCCAGCCUCCGGUGCCUGGGCUGAAUGUUCUGGAAGGCCAUCAACUAGCUUUGAUUUUGAAUGCAGUGGUUGCUUCUAGGGCCACUGUCCUCUCUGUGGAGCUUCCUCAUAGGUGCCCUGGUGGCCGGCUUGGCUUGUCACUUCCUUCCCACAGCAGAGGUUCCGUGCUUGGGGGGCCGCAGAGCUGCUGCUGCUGCUCCCCAGGAGGUUUCCCACCCCCCGCAGGCAGGAGAGCAAUGAAGCCACACCUGACCCCCUCACGCUCCCAAGAUGUCCAGAUGUCUGGUGUCCGCAGCAGUUGAAAGGCAUCACUUUGUUGAAUGGCUCGGCUGGAGCUCUUCACCUGCCUGUCCUUGGACACGCCUGCGCCCUCCCUCCUGCCCAGCCAGCAGUGUCAGGGAGCCUCGCUCCACAGUGCGUGACUGACGGACCACCACAGGGCCACCCUGUAAGGCACCUUCCUUUAGCAGGAUGGAAGAGAAACCCAGGGGCUACUGCCAGACACAGCCUGGCCCCCUGAGAGGCUUGGGCACAGCCCCAGAAUGUGGACGGGGCUCUGUCCCAAGGGGCCGAGCUGGCCCUGGUGUGGAGCUGGAUUCUAACCGCAGCUUCAAGUCGGUUGCGGACGGGGCGGGUGGUAAAGCCUCUGUUACCUCGGAACAACUCGAGAUCUCUGUAGUGCGUCAGCAUGUUUUCCAGGGGCAUCUGGGUUUGUAGUGGGGGUUCCACCUGGAGACACACAUGAGGCUUUCAUAGUAAAAGAAAAGAAAAUGCCAGUUCUGCUAAGCCUCGCAAGCACACUGUCCAACAGGCAGGCUGGGUGCGGCUCAAGCGCUGAGGCCCGGGUCCCGUCCCAGCACCAGAAACGAAACAAAAGUGUAUGGUGUGUUUGAAACAUAAAGCCCCUGAGAACAGGAGUACAGUCAAAUAGCGCCUGGGCUGUAGAACGCAACCUCAUUGCCAAUAAAGCAGACCUGAGGCCCCCUGGGCAGCGACCGUGGGGCCUCGCUCAUGCUGCACUUGACCUUGGCCUCCAGCCUUGCACCCCGAGCUGCUACCUUCCAAGCUCAGCUUGCAGGAGCCAGGGUUUCCCUCAGCAGUGCUGAAAGAUGGGUGGGCUUGAUGCCCAGGUCUCCGGCUGCCUGUGCUGGCCUCUCACCACUGGGGGGGCCCUAGGAGGAGGGUGCUAGAGAGGCCAGCAGCGGAAGAGCUGUGUCCCCAAGUUAAGAGCCUCCUCAAAGCAAGAAUCACUGAGGUGGCUCAGCCCUGGGAUUCUGGGAGAAUCUCUUCCUUUGGGUUUUCAUGUCUUGGACUCUGUCUUCUCUGUUUCCGUGUGCUCCCACUGAGGUGUUCUUUGGAAGCCAUAUCCAGCAGAAUCAUCAUUUGCCACUGGAAGGACGUGUCCUCCUUCCUGAUGGUCCCUGGGCAUCCCACCACUGGCCUUGACCUUGGGUUCCACACUGCAUUUUGAUGCCUGUUCUUCCCUCAGGGUCUUGGUCUCUUGAGAACAAGUAAGAGCCUGUCAGGAGAGAGGCCGGGUGGGGGACCUGGACGUCUCUGGAUGAGCCCGUCCAUCCUCAGGACCUUGAUGUCCCCAGGAAUUCAGUGAACUUGGUGGCCGGAGCAUGUCCAGCUUCCUGCCUGAGCUCCCACCCCCAGGUUGGUCCCCAGCCCAGGCACUGCUGUCAUGGAGACAGCGGGCAGCAGCACUGCAGUGCCGGGCGGCUGUCUCUGAGCAACAGGUGGUUCCAGCAGCAGCAGCAGCAGCAGGAGACCUGCUCGUGGACCGAGGGCAGCUUUACAGGGCGAAGCUGCAACGUCGCCAGUUCCUGGGCCUCACAAGCUGUUUGCUCUCACACCAGCUGUGUGUGAGAGGGCGGCCACUAUUUAAAGGCUGGCCGGUUUCACAGUGAGUCUUGAGUCCCAGCAGUGCUUCACCCGGGCAGCUCUGGCCACCCUGGACACACAGUGCACCAGCCCCAAGCUGGCCCAGGGGCACGGAGUCCUCCUUCAGUGGUCUCACUGUCCCAGCGCCAGAUCAGCGAUUCCUAUUUCACAGCGUUGCUCUAUGGACUAGUGUUAUGCGGGAAGCCAGCGCCACAGGAGGGUUUCUUACAGUGCCUGAGGAGGGGUCAUGUCACAGUCUGAUCAUUUGAAGAGGUGCAGAGACCCUGAGGCUCCCCUGCAUGUGGGCCUUGAGCCUCAGGCCAGCAGCUGGCCCGGGAGCACUGCCUCCUCCCCCGGGUGAGGCCACAGCAGAGAAGCCCUCAUCAGCCUCUGUCAGCUCCAUGCCUUGACCUUGGCCUCCAGUCCCCAGAACUGUGAGCAAUAAACCUCUGUGCUUUACAAGUC